GCUUGCACCUCUGAUACUUAGCGGCGGACGGGUGAGUAACACGUGGGUAACCUGCCUAUAAGACUGGGAUAACAUUCGGAAACGAAUGCUAAUACCGGAUACGCGAUUUGGUCGCAUGAUCGAAUCGGGAAAGAUGGAGCAAUCUAUCACUUAUAGAUGGACCCGCGGCGCAUUAGCUAGUUGGUGAGGUAACGGCUCACCAAGGCGACGAUGCGUAGCCGACCUGAGAGGGUGAUCGGCCACACUGGGACUGAGACACGGCCCAGACUCCUACGGGAGGCAGCAGUAGGGAAUCUUCCGCAAUGGACGAAAGUCUGACGGAGCAACGCCGCGUGAGUGAUGAAGGUUUUCGGAUCGUAAAGCUCUGUUGCCAGGGAAGAAUGCUUGGGAGAGUAACUGCUCUCAAGGUGACGGUACCUGAGAAGAAAGCCCCGGCUAACUACGUGCCAGCAGCCGCGGUAAUACGUAGGGGGCAAGCGUUGUCCGGAAUUAUUGGGCGUAAAGCGCGCGCAGGCGGCCUUGUAAGUCUGUUGUUUAAACUUGGGGCUCAACCCCAAGUCGCAAUGGAAACUGCAAAGCUUGAGUACAGAAGAGGAAAGUGGAAUUCCACGUGUAGCGGUGAAAUGCGUAGAGAUGUGGAGGAACACCAGUGGCGAAGGCGACUUUCUGGGCUGUAACUGACGCUGAGG
rnacentral:rRNA from 1 species